UCUGGUGACUGCAAAGUGGCCAAAUCAUCACCCCACUGUGCCGACUCUUGGUAUGAGAGUACAGUCUGCUAGGGGGAAACCUACCAAAUCUGAGCUCAGUGACCCAUUCACACAUGUGGAUUUCAGGGUCCGGAUCCUGGAGGACCCUCUGAUGGAGGUGCUCACACCCCAAGUGUUUCUGAAAAGCCGCAUUCAGGAGCUGCGGUGUCCUUAUGAUCUACAGGAGGCUGAUUUCCUGGACCAGCUGAGGUCUUCCAUCCCUCAGCUGGCUGCAGGUAAACCUUUUGACAUCCUCACUGCUGACAAAAGCCGGGUACUGCAGCCGCUGAGUGUGGACACGCUGACACCGGCGGAGAUCCACAGAGCCAUCACCUUAAGGAGAAACACUACUCUCUUCGUCCGACUGAAGGGAGCCGGUCCGUCCACCCCAAAUCCAACCAGACUGGACACCAGAGUUCAGUCUGACAAGAAGAGCCUGGGCAAGCCUCAGCUCAGUCGAUCAGACUCCCACGUAGAUCUGAAGGUCCGCAUCCUGGAGGACUCUCAGAUGGAGGUGGUCGCACCCCAAGUAUUUCAGAACUACCCACUUCACAAACUGCGGUGUCACCGCAGCCUGCAGGAGGACGACUUUCUGGAACUGCUGAGGUCCACCUUCCCUCAGCUGGCUGCUAACGUACCUUUUGACAUCCUCACGGUUGACAAAAACAGGAAACUGCAACCUCUGAAUGUGGAGUCACUGACUCCAGAGCAGGUCUACAAGGCCAUUGAUUCAUCAAGGAUCAAUACCCUCUUCAUUCGACUGAAGGCACCAGAGAAAGUCCAGGUUGGUGCGAGGAAGCUUGAACACCUGCAGAAAAAAGUGGACACAGCUACAGAGUCGUCAUUUUUACCUGAACAAACUGUGAUGCAUGGGAGGGAUCAGUCCGACAGGAGGAAGCCUGGUAGGCCUCGGAUUAGCCAAUCAAGCUCCCAUGUAGAUCUCAGGAUCCGCUUUGUGCAGGACUGGGAUGUCAAUGUGAUUUCACCUAAAGUGUAUAAUAAGUACCCGCUUCAUCACCUGAAGUGUCCUCGAGGCCUGCAGGAGGCCGACUUUGUGGAACUGCUGAAGUCCACUUUCCCUCAGCUGGCUGCUGAUAAACCUUUUGACGUCCUCACAGCUGACAGGAACAGAAGACUGCAGCCUCUAAAAGUAGAGCUAUUGACUCCAGAGGAGCUGUACAGAGCCAUCAAGGCCAGUGGGAGCAUUGUCCUCUUCGUUCGACUCAAGGCACCUGAGGGAGUCCAGACUAGUGCGAAAAAGCUUGACCUACAGAGAAAAGUUGACGGCACUGAAGAGUCUCCGUCCUUUACCGAGCAAACUGGGCUGCACAUGGGAAGCCCUCAUCAACCGGAAGAAAAUCCAGUGAACAUUUUCUCAAACAGCUCAACAUCACGUCACAAAGAUGUGGAGCUGAAGGAAUCUGAGGGUGGUUUGGAGUACACUGGUCUCUCGCAAUUGCAAUCUUUAAUACUUUAUGAACACAACGAGUUGAGUGAUGGGCUUCCCAAUGAGAAACCAAACAUAACCAAUGAUCAUCUGGUGAACGGUGAACCCGAGAAGACGAAAGGGAAUCGACGAGUCAAACAUUCAGUCAUCCGAAUAAAGAAGGCAAAGCAGAAAAUGUUGAUUCACAACAGCGAGGCUCUGCUGUCCUGUAAAGUCUGCCAGAUUUUACGUGGGUCGACAAACAUGCUGAUCAAACACGCCUGGAGUCAUGUGGACGAGCGAGAAAGGCUCUGUGGAGUGUGUGGAGAGCAGUCAGUGUCUGCAGAGCAGCUCAGGAGUCAUCUUCAGACUCACCAGAAAACGCACACCUGCAACAUCUGCGGGAAGUCCUUCCUCACCGUCGUCGGCUACAGGGGUCACCUCGCUCGACACAAGGGAAACACGCCGUACAAAUGUAGAACCUGCCACAAAGCGUUCCCUGAGAAGUGGGUGCUGAAGAACCAUGAGUCCCGGGUCCAUGCAGUGGAUAAGCCACACAGAAAAAACUUUUCCAAGUUGAAGCUCAAACUUCACCGGCCAACCAAUCAUGCGGGGGGGAAGCCACACAGCUGCAAUGUGUGUGGGAAGCGCUUCCGCCACCUGGAUACUUUGUCUCAACAUGUGGCACUUCACUCGGGUAGCACGGCAGCCACAGACAGACGGAUCCAUACAAAGAACCACAGCAGGGAGAGGUUGUUCGCUUGCGAUAAAUGCAACAAGAAGUUCUUUCACAAGUCAAACGUGGUGACUCACAUGAGAGUCCAUACUGGAGAGAAGCCUUACAAGUGCACACACUGUGGGAAAGGUUUCAGCCAGGGCCACUGUGUGAGAAGACACCUCCUGAUCCACCAGAAGAAGUACCACCAACAAACAGAGCAGCUUAGUAGGGUUGAAACUGAAGACAGUUAUGCUAAGGUGGACAGCAUGCCCUCUCCCCAAAAAUGAAACUAAAAUGUGGUGGGUGUGUACAGUAGUGACCCAGAGGGGGAAAGAUGUGCCUCACCCUCAAUACCAACCGAUCUCUGGGGAAAGUUAGCUUAUAGGUUUCUAGAUAGUUAGAAGGUGAGUGUUCAAGACGGCCCAGACGGUAGCGGCUGAAGUUCAAGGGAUGACAGUGGUUCCUGAUAACGUCACCAAUGAGAUGUUUGAUAAGUUUUGACCAGCUCUAAUUGACGCCGGUUGUAUGAAGGUUAGUUUUAUAUUUGAUCAUUUUACAGUAAAUGUUGUUUUGGUGGGUUGUUUCCUAUGUUGGACCUCGGUAAAGCAGGCCUACAGAUCGGCCUGCACCUCUUUGGCAAUCAGCGGUAAGUAGUGCAACCCGACUGUUUGCUGGAGGUUUCUGGCUGUUGAUGGGUGAAAUUGUUUGUAAAGAGAGCGCUGCACCGAAAACCUCCUUGUGAGAUUUCUUUUGGUGACACUCAGGUUGCCACAGUCUCAACAAUUAAUAUGGGAGACAACGGUUGUAAACUACUUGCAGAGUUGUUUUAAAACUGAAAAGUUUGCCUCUAAAGAAAAAGCUAACUGCUCUUGUAAGGUGCAACUUUUAUUUUGAAGAUGAAUGGUCUCUGUCUCAGUACAGCUUGGGACUUAGUUAGCAAGUGUUUGCAGACCCGUCUGUAUCUUCCAUGCAACCUGAGGGAAACCGCAGAAAUCUGCUAGUGACCAAAGCAAUCACGAGCAGGUUUUUGGUGCAUCACUGUGCAGUCUUUCCAAUGAGUUUUAGGCAGACAACUCCCAGCGUCCUCCACGAACCACUCAACAAUUGACUUGGGAUUACAUAUGUUGGUUGGCAACCAGUCUGUAUGCCUGUGUGACUGAGGUCUUAGUUAUAGUUGUUCUUAAUUAAUUCAGAGGCCUGUAUCACAAAGUUCGCUGUACUAACAAUGAACAAGAACAAAGUGCCCAAAUGCAAAGAAAGAAGUGAAAAAAAAAUUCAAUAAUGAAAAGACAACAUUGUUUCAUUUGUGUUAUUUAAAGGUUCAUCAACUGCAGUUGACCCCCAAUAACCACAUGUGAAUAGUUUAAAUCCACAAAUACCUGAGAUCCCUCUAAAAACACCUAUAACUGCCUAUUUUAAUAGUUCAAACACCAAAUAUAACUUAAACUGUCAUCCUAAUGAAGAUAACCUGAUAAUACUGAACUGUGAAUAGGUGGGGGUCGAGAACACUACUUUGUAAGUAUGGCAGAUUAUUUGACAGUAAGGAGGCAUAUAACUGAUGAUUCCUCUGACUCCACAUUAGAUUGACAGUUCAGACUCUCACGGUGUGAUUCACACUUAAGAACUCAAAAGCUGCUUGCUGCUGCAACAUGCCGUGAAAAGUUGUUUGACAUUUUUACUAAGUGCAAAGCCAUCCGGUGGGCCGGAUCGGACACUUCAGAAGGCCGGUUCUGGUCCACAGGCGGUGUGUUUGACAUACUCGCUACAGAUAUUCUACAGGGAACGUCAAAUUGUUUCCAGAGUCUGUGAACACCCUUGCACCGCCCCCGCAAUCUGUGGGACUUUUAUCAGCACACAGUCAUUUUAAAACUCUUCGGGGUUAGUCAUUGUGAAUGUCGUCCUGCUUGGAUUGUCUUGACUUUUGUUUAAUGUGUAAUGUCUUGUUGGUUUGUUGUUGAAAUUUGGAUUAAAGUUGUUAUUUUUCCACUUCAUUAUUUUACCCUGUGU